rnacentral:piRNA from 1 species
UGACUAGUCCUAUCAGGGAUUUUACAGAGU